GACGAACGCUGGCGGCGUGCUUAACACAUGCAAGUCGGACGGAAAGGCCCUGCUUUUGUGGGGUGCUCGAGUGGCGAACGGGUGAGUAACACGUGAGUAACCUGCCCUUGACUUUGGGAUAACUUCAGGAAACUGGGGCUAAUACCGGAUAGGAGCUCCUGCUGCAUGGUGGGGGUUGGAAAGUUUCGGCGGUUGGGGAUGGACUCGCGGCUUAUCAGCUUGUUGGUGGGGUUGUGGCUUACCAAGGCUUUGACGGGUAGCCGGCCUGAGAGGGUGACCGGCCACAUUGGGACUGAGAUACGGCCCAGACUCCUACGGGAGGCAGCAGUGGGGAAUAUUGCACAAUGGGCGGAAGCCUGAUGCAGCAACGCCGCGUGCGGGAUGACGGCCUUCGGGUUGUAAACCGCUUUCGCCUGUGACGAAGCGUGAGUGACGGUAAUGGGUAAAGAAGCACCGGCUAACUACGUG
rnacentral:rRNA from 1 species